UACAGAGGGGGCAAGCGUUUAUUCGGAAUUAUUGGGCGUAAAGGGCGCGUAGGCGGCUUGGCAAGUGGAAGGUGAAAUCCCUCGGCUUAACCGAGGAACUGCCUUCCAGACUGUUAGGCUUGAGACCGGGAGAGGUGAGUGGAAUUCCCAGUGUAGCGGUGAAAUGCGUAGAUAUUGGGAGGAACACCAGUGGCGAAGGCGGACUCACUGGACCGGUACUGACGCUGAGGCG
rnacentral:rRNA from 1 species